ACCGUUGAAGUGGGAAGUUGAAGGGUUCGGUUGGGUCGGUGUAUUGGCGCUUGAUAUAACCUUUUUCUUCUUUUGCUAUUCAUUCAUCCCCCUCGCUGCUCUCCAAACACCGCCGGAGACUCAUACUGCUCUCUAUAUAUAUCCGCUCCCCUGAGACCCAAGAACCAUCAUCCUUCACCGGACACUCACAACCAUGUCGAGGGGACCAUCGUUCACACCACCUUCUUCUCUUCUUCUUGUAGCGACACCACCGUUUCCUCCUUUCUUCUUUCAUUAAUUCAUUCCCCGGCGUUCAAGAACCCUAUGCGUUUCACUCUUCGUCUCUUAGUUAUUUUCAAUUAGGCCAAGAUUUUUCAGUGGUGUCUUCCUUACUGGAUUCAUCGGGCUAUUGGGUUGUACCUUUAUGCUUUAUAGUUGUAUAACGUCUGGUUGCGAUCUUUCCCUCUGAUUUCCAGGUAGUGUCUUUGUUUGUUUAAUUGGUUGUAUUUUUUUCAAUAAUGACGUGACGUGCUUUAGGCCCAGUGCAUGGGAAACUUUUAUAUCAUGAAGCUGUUUUUUUCUAAGCAUACUUCAUCAUUGCUAAAAGUAUCAACGACUAUACCCAAGGAUCUACUAGAACUAUACCAAAGGUAACCUAAUCCAAAGCAUCCAUCAAACAAAUGUGAUUCGUCAACAAGUGGUGAUGUCGGUAAAAAUUUAAAUAGUUUUGAAACCCAAAAUAGUAAUGUUUAGUUGUAGAUUGUUCUUUUUGUGCACUUUAGGUGUUUGAUGAAAUGUCUUGGUAAAGUUAAAAAGUUGUUUUGCUUUGUUUUUAGGGUUAAAGUGUUCAUGGAUUAAAUUUUGUAGAGAGAAGUAAAUAAUCACAAGCCAAAUUAAAAUAUGAAACAACUUACUGAGUGAGGUAUUAGAGAUUCAACUAGGAAAAGAUAAUUUAUUGUUUGUAUUUUUAACUCAAUUAGGAUGAACUUGGCGAACCAACUAUUGUAUAAUUUGCAUAUUUGAAAGUUCUUUGUUAUGUCAAAAGAGUGUAUCCUGAUUUUUUUUUUUUUUAAUUUUUUUUUUUUUGUAUAUGUGUGAUGUUCUCUCUGUUUUUGAAUAUCAUUGUGUGAUAUGUAGAUGAUAAGAAAAAGAUUAAGCUGUGUUUGAAUCAAAAAGUUGGAUCACAUGAGUUAAAAUAAACCCAAAAGCAUGUUUACAGCUCCUUCUAGUCCACCAUCAAACCAGUAGAAGAGUAGUAAGGGACUAUGUCCUCCACUCCUACUGCAAUUCAUUUAAAAAACUAUGUCUUUAUUGUUUAAUUUUUUAAUUGAAGUUGUUUUUUUUAUUAUUAUAAAGAAGAAGCAGAUGCAUAGUUUGUGUAGACAAGAAACUACUUAAUCCUACAGGCUCGACUACAAAAGUUCAAACUGCAUCAGAUGUUGGACAACCGAAUGUUGAGGUAUAAAGUUAUUUGCUUAGAUGUUCACAACAUUCAUCCCAUGUUGCAAUGCUUUCCUAUUUAGUAACUUGUUUAUUUGAGAAUUUUGUGAAAAAAACUUAAACUUUUUUUUGUAAAAACCUCUUCAUUCAGCUGUGAUGUGUGAACAAGAAAGCAUCUUAUUGUUGUUACCUUUUAGCUAAAAUAGUUUUAUUGUAAGAAAGUAUGGAUAUCAUCUCAUUCUAUCUUGUGAUCUGUACAAGAAAUGGCAUUGGUCCAUAAGUGUAGCUGAUUGUUUUUCAAUUGUGGUCCUUAUUUGAGGUUUGUAAAAACUUUGAACGAAAUUAGAUUAGUAGGAGAAGAUUGUCAAAUCAAUGUACAUGAAUAGUUGAUACUUUUUACACAUGAGGUUAAUUUUGGGGGUUAUGUUUUGAAGGAUUUUAUAUUGAUUUGUUCAAUCAUCAAAUUGAGAGACAUUUUUUUUAUCAACUCUAGAUUUUCAUUUUCAUAUACACAUUAUUAAUGUAAACCUAUCUCCUCUUCUUUUGCUCUACAUUUCAUCGCCUUAGUUACUAAUUCAGGAAAGUGGAAUGUUUGUACCUUACUGUGUAAGCAUCUACUGUCUACAUUAUAUAUACUUUCUUCACUAAAACUGUAAAUAUUUGGUAAAAAACAUCAAUAGCUUGCUUCCACUAUAGGUAUAUGCAUCCAAAACCUUCAGAGAUGGAGCUAUUAGAGAGUAUGUUAAGGCGGAUUCGGAUUGGGUACAAAUAAAUUUAUCUGAAUUUUGUAUAGAUACAAAUGGAAGCCACAUCUCAUUGGUUAUGUAUGUCACUUGUAUACUAAUUUCUCCCUUUCUACACACAAUGUCUUGUAAUUUUCUCCCUUUAAUACUUUUAAAUGGUUAAAAUAUUGAUUAGUUGCUAAUUACAGUUGCUGAGCUUUUUGCUAAUCUAUCUUUAUAGGGUAAUAUUACAUGCUUGGUCCCUGAGUGUAGCUGAUUUUUUUCAUUUUUGGUCAUUUUUUGAGGUUUGUAACGUUUUUUUAAUCUUGUUCAAAGUAAAAUGGCAUGAGUAGUUGAUAUGUUUCAUACAAGAAUGAAGUUAGUUUAAAAGGAGAAGAUUAUAAGACAUGAGUAGUUGAUACAUGGGGUUAAUUUUGGGGAUUAUGUUUUGAAGGAUACUCAUGAAGGUUAGCUCUACUUUUGAUCACCAUAGUUACUAAUCAUUAUUAUACUGUCAAAGUUUUAAAUCGUCUUUUUUUUUUUUUUUUUUUUAUUUAUUUAAUUCUUAGAAACAUCCAUAUAUUAAAUCGUCUUUCUUUACGCUUCAAAUGUAUUAAACUGUUGUAAAUGGUCAUGAAAUUAGAGUAUGUAUGUUUGAUGUUUAUAUAAUUAUUGUUGAAUCGGAAUCCUUUCCAUUUUCUGUUAUCCAUACACAUGAUGAAUUUUAUCUCCUUUGACAAAUUCCAUUCAUUACUCUGCAACAAGAAAAGGUUUUAGAAACUAAAUAAAGAAGUUAUGAUAGAGAAAUGUAAAAAAAGAGGCCCCUGAGAAUCAAAGUGUAUGCUUUUACCCUUAACACUAUAAAGCCCCUCAUGUUUUUUUAUUAGUUUUGUUAUUGUUAUUGUUAAAAGGUACACCUUUAGUUCCAUUGAAUCUCAAAGAAGGUUGUUGGGUUAUUUGCCUUUAUGGAAACGAUAUGCAGGUGUACAGGAAAGAUGAAGUUGUAUUGCAUUUAGCCCCAAAAGAAUGUUUAGAGCUUGUUGUAGUCCAUCAUCAAACCAGUAGAAGGGACUCUUUCCCUCCCUCCUGCUGCCACUACAUAACUUCAAAUUGCAUGAGAUGUUCGACAACCAACUGUUAAGGUAUAGAUUAAUAAUCUGUAAGUUUUUUUACCUAAUUAUCUUGUUGUAAGAGUUUAAAUUUUAUCAUUUUAAAAUUAUUUAUUUAUUUGCCCCUACAGCCAGAUUUUGUCUCAACAUGGUUCUUUUAUUUUCUAACCAUCACCCUUUUCUUCUACCAAAACCAGAUUAUGUUUUUUGCUACAAUAUUGAUGAGAAACAUAAAGCAGGAUGGAUUUGAAGGAAUUGAUUAAAAUCUUAACACUAUCAAAUCCUUUAUUUAUUCUUCCUUCUAUCUUGACUGACUUAAGCUAUUUUCCUGUUUUACCCUUUAUUGGGUCUUCUAGACAAAACAUAUUGGACUCUUUCUUUAAUGGUAUUUGGGUCAAUCAAUCAAUUCUCAAUUAGUAUCGUUACUCCUGCCAUAAAAAAAGUUUUGUCCUCAAGACUUGAAACAAGAAUGACUAGAUGCAUCUUGAAGAAGGAAGAAAAUUCCAACUUGUGCUUUUUUUUUUUCAACUCUACCAAAAUUAAAUAUUUUCUUAUCUUAAAUGGAACUUAUUCCUUUUCCUACAAAUGUUGUUGGUGGAAGUCUUCUUGAAAUUAUGUUCUUUCCCUAAAGUGUGUAAAAAACUCUAAGGUCUCAAAUUGGUUAAAAUGCCAAUUGUUUCACUAUUAUUUUGUUCUGAUACUGCCCAAUCCAUGCUUAUUUCAGUUAUAUAUAUAUAUAUAUAUAUAUAUAUAUACACACACACAUUAUGAUAAUAUUGUACUUAAAAAGAGAAGCUUGUUUAAUGCUGCAUUGAUGCUCAAUUAGGUGUGUGAUUAUUGCAGUCUGAGAGAAAAAGAGAAGCUUGUUUAGUGUUGUACUUUCAACCUUUUCUUAUCAAGAAAAUGUAUGUCAAAAAAUCUUCUCUCUCUCUCUCUCUCUCUCUGUAGUUAGUUUUUAUAGUUUGUUCAUUAUAGCAUCGUGCUUCCAUUUCAUUCUAUGACAACAAUGUAAUUUCAACUUUUUACGUAUAAGGGUAUUAUAGUAAGAAAAUUCUAUGCAAAUUUUUUCAAGUUUAAUGCUAUAAUAGGAUGCUGUUAUACACAAAUCAGUAAAAGUAGAUUGAUGUUUCUUGCAUUUAAACCAAUAUUGAUGUAUGCUGUUCCUCUUAUUUUAGAAGUAAAGUGUGUGGAUGUUCCUUUGAAGAAGAAGAAGAUGGUUUUUUUACGAGGGUACUAUCUUUCACACCACCUUCUUAUCUUCUUCUUCUAGCAACACCAUCGUUUCCUCCUUUCUUCUUUUUUCAUUAAUUCAUUCCCGGGCGUUCAAGAAUCCUCUGCGUUUCACUCUUCGUCUCUUAGGUAAGGUAACGUUCUUGAUUUUUUACCUUUUUGUGUGUGUAAUUGAUUUUGUUUUUGUUUUUGUUAGUUAUUUUCAACUAGGCCAAGAUUUUUCAGGUCUGUCUUCAUUACUGGAUUCAUCGGGAUAUUGGGUUGUACCUUUAUGCUUUGUAGUUGUAUGACGUAUGGUUGCGAUGUCAGCUUGGUUCACCGUCAUCAUCGAUCAAGAAAAAGAGUACAAAUCUUUUCCCUCUGAUUUCCAGGUAGUGUCUUUGUUUGCUUAAUUGGUAGUAUUUGUUCAAUAAUAACGUGACGUGUUUUAGGCCAAGUGCAUGGUAAACUUUUUAUGUCAUGAAACUGUUUUUUCUUCUUCUUCUAAGCAUGCGUCAUCAUUGCUAAAAGGAUCAACGACUAUACCCAAGGAUCUACUAGAACUAUACCAAAGGUAACCUCAUCCCUCAAACAAAUAUGAUUGGCCAACAAGUGGUGAUGUCGGUAAAAUUUAAAUAGUUUUGAAACCCAAAAAAGUAAUGUUUAGUUGUAGAUUGUUCUUUCUGUGCACUUUAGGUGUUUGAUGAAAUGUCUUGGUUAAGUUAAAAAGUUGUUUUGCUUUGUUUUUUCAGGUGAUGGAUUAAAUUAUGUAGAGAGAAGUAAAUAAUUACUAGCCAAAUUAAAAUAUCAAACAACUUAUUGAGUGGGCUAUUAGAGAUUCAACUAGGAAAAGAUAAUUUAUUGUUUGUAUUUUUAACUUAAUUAGGAAUAGAAGUGUCUUUUGGUUCUAUAUAAAAGCUUCAUGGAAAGUUGUGCAUUUCUGUUUAACUAAGUGAGGAUGAACUUGGCGAACCAACUACUGAAUAAUUUGCAUAUUUGAAACAGUUUAUGAGAUUCCAAGAUUUAUGGACACAAACCAAGUUGUUUGUUAUGAGAUUCCAAGAUUUUUGAAUGUCAUUGUGUGAUAUGUAGAUGAUAAGAAAAAGUUCAAGCUGUGUUUGAAUCAAAAAAUUGGAUCACAUGAGUUAAACUAAACCCAAAAGCAUGUUUGUUGUUUAAUUUUUUAAUGGAAGUUUUUGUAUUAUAAAGAAGAGACAGAUGCUUAGUUUUUUAAUGGAAGUUGUUUAAUGUCAUAUUUACUUUUUUCUUUCAAUGUUUAUAAGAUCAGAGUAUGUAUGUUUGAUGCUUAUGUAAUUAGUGUUUAAUAUCACAAACAACAUUUUUAUUGUUUUAUAAGAAAAUCAGUAAAGGAUUCCAAUUCCUUUGACAAAUUCUAUUGUUUUCAAAAAUAUUAUGUGAACCGCAUGUUCCCUUACAUUACUCUGAGGUUAAUUGCUAUUCUUUUUUGUAGUUCCUUUGACAAAUUCCAUUCAUUACUCUGCAACAAGAAAAGAUUUUAAAAACCAAAUAAAAAACUUUUGGUGGAGAAAAAGAAAGGAAAAUGCUUCCAUUGAUUCAAAAGUGUUAACAUGUACUUUUUAAUAAAACACUUGAUGCUUUUUAUAUGUCUUAUUUAAUUUUUUUCUGCUCAAAGAGGUACACUUUUUAUUUCCAUUGAAUGUCAAAAUACAUUGCUUUAUCCACUAAUUACAAGCUGACAAAGCCUGGAACCGAUAUGUAGGUGUACAUAAAUACCCUUCUGUUCCUAAAACCUAUUCUUUUUUAUUCAGGCCCCCCCCCCCUCUCUCUCUGUAGUUAGCUUUUAUAGUUUGUUCAUUAUAGCAUCGUACUUCCAUUUCAUUUUGUGACAACAUUGUAAUUUCAACUUUUUUACUUAUAAGGGCAUUACAUUAUGAAAAUUCUAUACAAAUUUUUUGAAGUACAAUGCUAUAAUAGGAUGCUGUAAUACACAAAUCAAUAAAAGUAGAUUGAUAUUUCUUGCAUUUAAAUCAAUAUUGAUGUAUGCUAUUCCUCUUGUUUUAGAAGUAAAGCGUGUGGAUGUUCCUGAGAUGAAGUAUAUACAUACAUCCGAUGAUGAAAACAAAUUUCUAUUUUAUAUCCCAACCAAAAAGGUGGAAGAUAGAGAUGUUCAUAGAGAUGUUCAUUCUGUUUCAGAAGCAACAACCAAGGCAAUGCACUUUGAUUACAUUCUACCUUUCAACUCUUUUCUUAUUUAGACAUUGCACUUUCUGUUUUUAAGAAAGUAUGGAUUUCAUCUACUUCUUUUUGGUGGCAGUUUUUGUUACCGGAUCAUAUCUUAAUACUUUCAUAGAU